GCGCUUACAAGAGAAAAAAAGGAAAAGCAGCUCUCAUGACGUCUGAUGAGCAGAAGCGUGAACUAACUGCUCAGUGUUCCUCCCGGGUAUUUAUCUUCGGAGCUGUCUGCUGAUAAAACCAUUUAUUUCUCUCGGCCUGAGCAACAGGUUGCCCCGUUUCGGUUUCCCUCCAAGCUGACAGGCCUGCUCGCUUCAGCUUAUUUAUUUGGGGAUGGAUCCUGAGAUAGCUGUGGGUGACUCACAUAAUCGACACACAACAACAGCAACAACAGCGACGCCAACAACGAUGACACCACAGCAAAUUAUCGGGGAAUCAUCCAGAAAGCGGCUCAUCAAUGGAAGGACAGAGGGGAUCCAGCUCUCCUCUCCUCAGGCCACCAGGUGGUCCAGUCUUCAAUUUCAAGGGGCAGCGUCCAGUGACUGAUAUGCAAGUCGCCCUUGGUGAACAAAAUUUUGACGGGAACACGGCCAUACGCAUUCACUUACAUGCUGUCACACCACACUAACACACUCAAAUGCUGCGUAGACCUUCUGGCUCGCAAAACCCAAAAUGUUCACUACUUGGCCUUUUACAAGAAAAAUGUGUUGGUUUUUGCUCUAUUUACCUAUCCUGGCCAAAUAAUGCUGGAUACUUUGGUCUUUCAGAAUUCGAUGGAAAAAUACCUCAUAGAGACUAUCUGGUGAUUCUCGGGAGUAACUGGCAAUUGGGAAUAACAAAUACGUAUCACGAGAUCUGUUCACACCAGCCUCCCCUCAGCCACAUGACAAGUAACGGAAACUGAAGAACUACUUUCAGGUCCUGUAUCCAGCUUCAUUUUGUAGAUGAAAGCAUGGCCCUAAAAGAUGAAGGAAUCGACUUGUGCAAGGUCACACACCUAACUGAAAAAUGAAGAACAUAUAUAUCCAAUUCCAGGAAAAUACAGUAAGGAGAAAUAAGCAGAAAAAAAUCUACUGUCAUGAAAGAACUGUAGCUUGUCUGAUCGAUCAGGCCCUUGGAGGGUGAGGAGUGUGAUGACAUAUUGAAACGAGGAGUUUGAAAACAUGGAAGAAUGUAUUUGAUUUAGUAUUUUUUUGUUCUUUGUGAUUAUGAGUGUUAGCUGCAUUUUCCUUCCGUGUAGAAGGGCAUUCUGUGUUCCCUUAGUCAGCGGGGAAAUCUUAAUCAUAUGUUUAUAAUUUGUUUGCUUGAAAUGAUUAGAAUGAGUUUUGUGGUCACUGUAGAGUUCACCCUUCAGAGGUACCUAAUUUUCAAGUCACCAGGACACUGUGUCUAUUCUUAGCCUCUGGGGUGGACACUCACUCUGGACUGGCACAGCGACCAGCUGCAUGAGUUGGGGAGCAGCGCUCGGGUGGGACCGUGUCCAGGAACAAAUCAUCAGUCGGUCAGGGUGGGGUGGGAAGAGUGUCGUAACACAGGGGAAAGAAUGAAGAAUUGUUCUUAAAAGGAAAAUUCUUCAAGUUUAGAAGGGCUCUUUGUAACGGACCUGAAAUCUGUGUUCUGGAAGUUGGCUUUUAGCUUUCUGCCCUUGAGCAGGGGUUUCAGGUCUUUCCUCGUACCACACACAGUACCUUUUGAGGAUUUCACAAAGCUAUGGAUUCUGCCUCUCCCCUCGUGCCCAGAAACACCCAUACAACUGACAAUUCUGUCUGCAAUUUCAGGGAAUUACAGAUUCUCUAAACAUCUACAGACCAUCUAUAAACCUCACACUGGGAUCCUGCCUCCUAAAGUUAGUGUUUAUGGAAGCAAUAAAAUGAUUAUUCCCUUGGACAGAUCCUGCACACGCACUCUCAGAUUAAAAUCACCCACGGCUCCUCACUACUCAGAUACCAAGUCUUAACUCCUGGGAGUGGUGCCUAAGACUCUUUGGAUUUAACCUCUGCAGCUUUUUUUCCAUAACGCAUCUCUCCCACAGUCCGAACCACAGAGACCUGAGACUAACUUCCAUUCCCCAAACUCUCAGACCUUCUGUAUGUGCUCACACCCCUCUGCCGGGCACAUUCCCCCUCUGCACCUCCCUACUCGGUCAGCACUCAUUCUGGGACCCGCUCACACGGCACUUUUCAGGAAGUCUCUGCCUUCCCGACACUGAGCGGGGCCCAUCUCGUCUGCGCUUCUGUAAGACCAGGUGCCGUCUCCGGAGGCCGCAUCCGCCACAGUCGCCCGUUAAGUAAACGCCUCUCCCCGUACAUGUGGCUGGAGGGCUGGGACGUGUUCCCUGUGACAUUGCCAGGGUGCAAUGGGCUCUCCAAAGUGGUUUUUGAACAAAAAGAAUAUCUGAAUGAAGACACUGUGAAGCAGCAAAUGGGGAAGAACCUCUGCUGGGAGGCGUAUGAGAUGAAAAUGGUGGCUCUCUUAAAAAGCAACCAGAAAACCAAAGCAGAGGAAAACAGGCAGAAACUGGGCAAGAUUGUUAAGUUCAGUGUUGUAUUUUAAUGGGUGUGUCACCUUACAAGGGCCUUUGGAAUGAAGAGUGCUUUAGGAAAGAGGAGUUAGCGCUGGAAGGUGGCGGAGACAGUGACAAUGACACUGACGCACAGGGGUGAGAAAGCAGGAAGAAGGCAUACUGAAGGGGCACAGCUCCUACUACAGUUGUUGUUUCAGAGCUAGGGUGCCAGGCCAUGUGCUGAAGGCUUGACAUUGUUAUCUCACCUCAUUCUUAUAAUAAUUUUGCCUCAUCGUUAUUCAGAUUUUAAGGGUGAGGAGAGAGAGCUUGAAAAAUUUCUCUUUAUUUUUUACAAUUCAAAAUACCUUGACUGAGCUUAACAAAACAAGGCAAUAAAAUCCCUCUGCUCUAAAAGAAAUUGGAGUCUGUAGGCAGCCAUACUGAAAAGUGAGUUCCAGGAUCAGACAUACCUGCGGCAAAAUUCCAACUCUGCUUUUGCUCAGGUUGUAUAGGGAUAAUCAUACCUCUGAGGUUAGUUCUUCAGUGAAGUGCUUUGUAUAGUGUUAUUCUUAUGCUUCCUUAAAUUAAUCUGAACAUUACACACAAUAUAUCAUGUAUGUAAUAUAUACACGUAUGGCAUAUAUUGAUGGCAAUGGGAUAAAUGAUAUACAAUUUCUAGUUGCCAUAUAAUGAGGGUAGGAAGGAGCCAAUCAGCACCAGUUAUGUGAGCUGUCUUCAGCCACUUAAGCAUAGCAGUAACAGCAUUAUCACCAUUGCUUCUACCAAUUACAACAAGGCUGGGAAAUAGUGUUUAAGGGUGAUUUUGUCUUUUGUUGAUUUUAUUCCAAUGGAUUGUACCUAUUUUAAUCUCUUAUUUUUUUGGUUUAUCAUUUAUUUAGAAUGGGUACGUGCAAUUAAAGGUAAAAGAUUUAUGCAAACUGAAGAGAAACCAGAGUAUGAUAAGGAACCAGUUAAAACCUUAAAUUUUUCUGUUAUUCCAGAAAAGUGUGGACGGUGUUAUGGUGUUAGACGGGAUAAGUUAUCAGCAUUUUCUGUUCUCAUUACAACUGAAGGCCACUCAGUAAAGGAUUAGCAAUGGAGAAUGAUAACAGGAUAAACACUAGCACCGUUCAAAAGAACACAAGCCUUUUAAGGGUUAGGUCCUAGAUUCAGACUAUUGUCAAAUUACACAUGAAACAAAUCUAGAAUUUCAAAAACUUCAUUUACAAAUGUGGCUUCUUAAAUCUUGAAAGAAUGUAAGAUGUUUUAUUGUGGAACUAAAAUCCCAACACUUUUGGCUUUAGAAUUUCACCUCAAUGAAAAUUAUAUAGAUUAAUUCUAGUUUCUUAUAUUCUUGUUUAAGUUUCUAAUAGAUUAAAGCCCUUACAAUAAUGCUUUUUUCAUACUAUUGCUAUGUGCCUUAAAUAAAACCAUGAAAGUAAAA